rnacentral:rRNA from 1 species
GAUGAACGCUGGCGGCGUGCCUAAUACAUGCAAGUCGAGCGAACAGACGAGGAGCUUGCUCCUCUGACGUUAGCGGCGGACGGGUGAGUAACACGUGGAUAACCUACCUAUAAGACUGGGAUAACUUCGGGAAACCGGAGCUAAUACCGGAUAAUAUAUUGAACCGCAUGGUUCAAUAGUGAAAGACGGUUUUGCUGACACUUAUAGAUGGAUCCGCGCCGCAUUAGCUAGUUGGUAAGGUAACGGCUUACCAAGGCAACGAUGCGUAGCCGACCUGAGAGGUAGAACGGCCACACGGGAACUGAGACACGGUCCACACUCCGACGGGAGGCAGCAGUAGGGAAUCUUCCGCAAUGGGCGAAAGCCUGACGGAGCAACGCCGCGUGAGUGAUGAAGGUCUUCGGAUCGUAAAACUCUGUUAUUAGGGAAGAACAAAUGUGUAAGUAACUAUGCACGUCUUGACGGUACCUAAUCAGAAAGCCACGGCUAACUACGUG